CAGCGGUGGAAAAGAAACCAAAAGGGAUUCCCCCAGUAACGGCGAGUGAAAAGGGACCAGCCCAGCGCAAAGGCCGCUCGUUCUUCGGGACGCUGCGUGCGAUGCUGCGUUAAUGCCGGGGCGACAGCCUCAACGGCGACCAAGCGUGCAAGUUCCUUUGAAUAGGACCGUCAAACCCACAGCGGGUGGAAGGCCCAUAGCGCGUCUUGCGUCGUCAACGAGCUAGCCUCGGCAUGGUAGAGUCACGUUGCUUGAGAGUGCAGCGUAAAGACGCGAGGUAAACUCCUCGUAAGGCUAAAUAAGACUGCGAGACCGAUAGCAAACAAGUACCGUGAGGGAAAGUUGCAAAGAACUUUGAAGAGAGAGUUCAAAAGGACGUGAAACCGCUUGCGGGUAAACGGGUGGAACCACGAAGUCAGAACGGGCCGGGGAUUCAGCCGUCGGCUGGGCGUAGGCGCGCAGUGAGAGUGUUUUCGGACAUUUCGCUGCGUGCUGUUGAUGCCCGGCCGGCGGUGCACUUCUCGCAGGCCCGGGACGGUGCUCCGACCGGUUGGAGCGCUGCGGCAGCCGGUAACGAGAGUCCGGCGGGCAGGUAGCGACAAGAGGCCUUGUGCUUCGCGACGUGAUAUAGCCCGUCGCUCGGAACUCGCCGCAGACAGCCGACCGGGUGAACUGGCCGAAAGGCCUUGCAGACGGAGGGGGAGCUUGGUGUUGAGCUGGACAUGCCGGCGGAGCGACGCGUACGGAGGCCUCGUGCCCUCGUCCUCGCACCGCUGUGCUGUCUACGCCUCUGCCCAUGCAUUCUCCCCCUGAGCAAUCGGGAG
rnacentral:rRNA from 1 species